rnacentral:tRNA from 1 species
CAUCAGAUGACUGAAAGAAAGUAAUGGUCUCUUAAACCAACCUAUAGUAAGUAACGCCUACUUCUGAUG